GCCUCGGUAGUCCAAUGGCAGAACGACGCCCCCAUACGGCGCAGGUUGCUGGUUCGAAUCCAGCCCGAGGUACCA
rnacentral:tRNA from 1 species